UCCACGCCGUAAACGAUGAGAACUAGGUGUUGCGGGUAUCGACCCCUGCAGUGCCAAAGCUAACGCAUUAAGUUCUCCGCCUGGGGAGUACGGUCGCAAGAUUAAAACUCAAAGGAAUUGACGGGGGCCCGCACAAGCGGUGGAGUAUGUGGUUUAAUUCGAUGCAACGCGAAGAACCUUACCUGGGCUUGACAUCCUUGGAAUCUCUCAGAGACGAGAGAGUGCCCUUCGGGGAACCAGUGACAGGUGCUGCAUGGCUGUCGUCAGC
rnacentral:rRNA from 1 species